UCAAGUCUCAUCCAUAUUCGUGUUCUACAUUGUGUUUGAUACAUUUACAUUUUGUAAACAGUUAAUCUGUUCACAGUUUCCAAAACAGGUGUUUAAGCAGUGCAGAGCAAUGCACAUGAGUGAGGAAGGCCAAUUUGGGUGCAUUGGCAUGUACAGCUUUCUGUGAAAAAUUUGCUGAUUCCUUAGUCUUUCACAAUUAGGUGGUGGAAGUCAGGCCGAGCAACAAUCAUGGAUUGGUGUAAACACAAACUCUUAAGUCAUUCAAUGAAAUGGUUUGAUGAAAUCUUGUAGCUGUUAGCCGUGCUGAGCCGUUUGUUUAAAUAACAGCCCCUAGGAUGCCUUCAAUGAAUCCAACUAUCACUUUGAAAUUGGUUGUAACUGCUAGUUUGAAUGAACCUGCAACACAGGCAAGACAGAACAAGGCACUGCAAACAAUGUGCUUUAAGCUGGACAUGUCCAGCAUAGCAGCAACAUGCUGCAACUUAUCAAACACCAACUCCAGAGCACCCCAACAGCCCCUGCAGGUCAGCAUGCCCUUCAGCUUCGGCACUACCCCGACCGCGCCGGCUGGCGGCGCCUCCGGCUCUUCGUUCGGUGUGCCGGCGGCCGGAGCCACGCCCGGCUUCUCAUUGGCGGGCGCCGCUGGCGCCUCCUCCCCCGCCGGCGGCUUUUCGUUCGCGUCGCCAACUGCGACGGCGGGAGGCGGUCUGACGCUGGGAGCGGGGGCCGGCGCCCCCGCCACCAGCGGGCUCUCGUUCGGAGCCCCCGCCGCCGGUGGCACCACCGCUGCACCUGCCAGCGGCGGGUUCUCUUUUGGUGCCCCCGCUGCCGCGACGACAGCCGGCCAGCUGUCGUUUGGAGCGAGCGCCGCUGCGCCCGCCGGCGGCGGGUUCACGUUCGGCACUCCCGGGGCGUCGAGCGCCGCUGGUGGGUUGUCGCUGGCAGCUCCCGCUGCCGCCCCCAUCACCGCUGGCUCCUUGCUGGGAGCGCCUGCCACAACCAGCGCAGGGUUUGCAUUCGCGGCCCCGGCUGCCUCCAGUGCGGGCGCUGGGCUGUCCCUGACGGGCGCGGCUAGCGCGGCGCCGGGCACGGCGCCCGCCUUCGCGGCCUCUCCAUUUGGAAAGCCAGCCGGGCUCAGUACUGAGACUGCGGCCACGACAGCGGGUGGCUUUUCGCUGGGGACGCCGGCCGCCAUCACAUCGGGCUUUUCGCUGGGAACUCCGGCUGCUGCUACAUCUGCAGGAGGAUUCUCGCUGGGGCCGCCGGCCGCCACCACGUCUGGCUUUUCACUGGGAACUCCGGCUGCUGCUACAUCUGCAGGAGGAUUCUCGCUGGGGGCGCCGGCCGCCACCACGUCUGGCUUUUCGCUGGGAACCCCGGCUGCCGCCACAUCUGGAGGUGGUUUCUCGCUGGGGACGCCGGCCACCACCACAUCUGCAGGUGGUUUUUCGCUGGGAACUCCGGCUGCAGCCACAUCUGGAGGAGGUUUUUCUCUGGGAACACCGGCUACAGCCACAUCUGAAGGAGGUUUUUCGCUGGGAACGCCGGCGGCUUCCGCCACCCCGGCAUCCGGGGCGCCGGCGAGCAGUGGGGGGCUGGGCCUCACCGGCUUGGGCUCCACAGCCACCAGUCUGGGGCAGACUUCAGCCGCAGCUACCACAGUCACCAGCACGACGGCGUCGGCGCCCGGCUCCACCAUGACGUACCGCCAGCUGGAGGAGCUGAUCAACAAGUCCACAAUGGACCUGGAGGAGCAGGAGAAGCGCCUGCUGACCCAGGCCACCCAGGUCAACGCCUGGGACCGGCAGCUGGUCAACAACGGACAGAAGAUCAUGGACCUGAACGAGGCCGUGGAGCGGGUGAAGCUCGACCAGGAGCAGCUCGACACCGAGCUCAACUUCGUCGCCACACAGCAGCACGAGCUGGAGGAACUGCUGGCACCGCUUGAGCGCGCCGUCGAGUCGGCCGGAGGCGCGGUGCAGCAGCACCCCGACGUGGAGCGGGAGCACACCUACCAGCUGGCCGAGGGCAUCGGCGCCCAACUGAAGCGCAUGUCAGAAGACCUGCGCGAGAUGAUUGAGCACGUGAACGCCGCCAACAAGAACCAGGACGAGAACGACCCAAUGGUGCAGAUCUCCAAGAUCCUGAACGCGCACAUGGACAGCCUGAACUGGCUGGACGAGAACACGACGCAGCUGCAGCGGCGGGUGGACGAGACGAGCCGGCAGCUGGAGCAUCGGCGGCUCGAGCAGGAGCGUGCCCUCCGGCGCGGCUUCGAUUAGAGCCGUCGCCGCCGCCCGCCCUGGUCACGGCCGGCGGACCGGUCGGCACCGACAGCGCACCGCCUCGGGUCAGAGACAGACUGGCGUCGCCCGCCUGACCCCGCUCACGCCCGUGAAAGCGGCGUCCUCCCGGUGGUCAGGUCACGUGCUCUAACGGCGCGGUAUGGCGCGGAACGACACGACGCCUCCGCUGCUGGCCAACCGGGCGCCCUUACGGAGCGCCUCGUGGUCGCCUGAAGUGAAGCCGAAGUGAGAAGUGCGGGAAGUGAGAGCCGCUGCGUGUGUGCGUGUGCGUGGUGUGUCGGCGCCUGACGCCGUGCAGGACGAUCGCUGCGAGGGCCGCAGACGUCCCGACGUGACGCGCGGCGUCGUGGGUCGUCACGGACGUCGUCAGUGUUGAACGUCCUUGCAGUGAUGAUGUGCCAGGUGGUGCCCGCAUCGUGAUGAUGUGGCAGGUGGUGCCCGCAUCGUGAUGAUGUGCCAGGUGGUGCCCGCAUCGUGAUGAUGUGGCAGGUGGUGCCCAUAUCGUGAUGAAUUCCGAGAGGACUCUGGGGUGAGCGAUGCGUGUGCCGCUGACCUUCGCGCUCGACAUCGCCAACGAAAAAGGCCCGGUGUUUUGUUUUGGCAAAUAAAUGACUCGU